GUAGGGAAUAUUGGGCAAUGGUCGGAAGACUGACCCAGCCAUGCCGCGUGCAGGAAGACGGCCCUCUGGGUUGUAAACUGCUUUUAUCUGGGAAGAAAAAGGCCAUGCGUGGCAAAUUGCCGGUACCAGAUGAAUAAGCACCGGCUAACUCCGUGCCAGCAGCCGCGGUAAUACGGAGGGUGCGAGCGUUGUCCGGAUUUAUUGGGUUUAAAGGGUGCGUAGGCGGCUGCUUAAGUCAGCGGUGAAAGACUUCGGCUUAACCGGAGCAGUGCCGUUGAUACUGGUUGGCUUGAGUGUCGGAGGGGUACAUGGAAUUGAUGGUGUAGCGGUGAAAUGCAUAGAUACCAUCAGGAACACCGAUAGCGAAGGCAUUGUACUGGCCGACAACUGACGCUGAUGCACGAAAGUGUGGGGAUCGAACAGGAUUAGAUACCCGAGUAGUCC
rnacentral:rRNA from 1 species